CGCUGGAGCACCGGAGCUCCCCCUUUAAACACUAAUGGCAUUCUCUCAACCAACUUUAUGAAGUAGUCACCUGGAAUGGUUUUCAGGACAAGGUCAAGUGGUAGCAACAAAACUAUGCAACGCCUGCCAAUUUAGGUUCUUAUCAAGCUGUUUGUUCACCAUGGCCUACACUGCCGAAUGUCAAGAAAACUCAUACUGUGGAGUCUCUAACUACACAUUAGGAAACACGAUUACGUUUUUCAAAUAUGGAUGCAUUGAAGCAACAAGCUGCAACCAAACCCUAUCAGGUUCAGGAUUGCUCAAAUCAAUCACUAUCAACAACACCUGCUGCAACA